AUUGAACGCUGGCGGCAGGCCUAACACAUGCAAGUCGAACGAGUGGCGGACGGGUGAGUAAGGUCUGGGCAACUGCCUGAUGGAGGGGGAUAACUACUGGAAACCGUAGCUAAUACCGCAUACCAUCAGAUGUGCCCUCAUGGGAUUAGCUUGUCGGUGGGGUAACGGAUCACCAAGGCGACGAUCCCUAGCUGGUCUGAGAGGAUGACCAGCCACACUGGAACUGAGACACGGUCCAGACUCCUACGGGAGGCAGCAGUGGGGAAUAUUGGACAAUGGACGCAAGCCUGAUUCAGCCAUGCCGCGUGUAUGAAGAAGGCGUUCGGGUUGUAAAGUACUUUCAGCGGGGAGGCGUUACCCGCAGAGGAAGCACCGGCUAACUCCGUGCCAGCAGCCGCGGUAAUAC
rnacentral:rRNA from 1 species